GGUCUGCUGCGGGCAUGUCCAGGCAAGACAAGUCCAGGUUCCCUUAUCUGCACAUAACAUCUGGUGUAAACACUUGUGGGGCUGGUUGGAGAUUCUCCGGGGACCCUUCCGUAUCUGCCUAGGCAUUUUGCUGUCUCCUCCUAAUACGGAACAAGCACAAUAUAAAAAACAAUUAGAGCAGUUAAACAAGGAUAUAAUACAGCUUCACUAAAUAAGAAGGAACUCACACUUAAAGAUGUGGAACGUAAAUUCUACAAAAUGAAAACUGCUUAUGAAGACGUUACAACUGAGUUAGAAGAAUAUAAGGAAGCCUUUGCAGCAGCAUUGAAAGCUAACAGUUCCAUGUCAAAAAAAUUAACUAAAUCGAAUAAGAAAAUAGCAAUGAUCAGUAUCAGCUCUUUAUGGAGAAAGAGCAGGUGAAAUAUUUUCUCAGCACUCUUCCUACAAGGCGAGGUCGAGAGUCACCUUGUGUUGAAAAUCUUACUAGUAUAGGACUCAACAGAAAAUAUAUUCCCCAAAUGCCC
rnacentral:lncRNA from 1 species